rnacentral:lncRNA from 1 species
UCCAUUAACGACAUCACACGCGACAUCCAGUCCAGUUUUGACAGUCAACCAGUUCGUGUUAGCUAACUUAAAUCAAACAAAAUGUAUAAGAAUUAUUUAAUUAUAUUAGUUUUAGCAGUUCUGAUUAAUUUUGGAAAUUGUUGGCAAGUGUUUCCGUUGCCCGAUGCGCCGGCGCCGGUUAAACCCGUAGAUUUUGUGAAGGCAACUCCGGGGUUGCCGAAGACUCCAGUAGUUAGUCCAACAAAUGAAUAUACUCCAAAUAAACUUAAUGUUCGACCAACGAGUGUCAAUUCCGUAUUAUCUAAGCAAAAUGUCAGCGUACCAGCAACGGAUCUCCUCCCACCGCAGAUGAACUACGUCACCUACGAACAGAAAUAGACACACAUCAACUAUAAUGACUGAAAAAAUAUAUGGAAUGUUCAACUAUACCUACUCUGCCUAGCAUGCCAGUACAGUGAAAACGAAAAUAUUCGCUCAUAACUAGCUUGCGUUCCAAACUAUGCAAUGGAAUGCAUGUCAAUCAUUUUUUGGAUAUUUGUUUGUUCGUUUGUCGGCUCGUUUAUCUGUCUGUGUGCAUGUCUAUGGACGCACCACUUGAAAAGUAAUGGAUAGAUUUUGUUAAUAUUUAGUUGUGUGUUGUUAUAUUAUGAUAAUUUCGACCAUGAUAAGGUUAAUUGAGUGAAGUUAACAUAUACAAAAUAUAUACCUAAGUAAUAAAUAAUGUACAAAAAUAUAUAAGUAAGAAAAAAUAAUGUAAAGGUUGUGUGGGUUGGCUUUAUAGCGUUUUCACACUAGUGUAUUUUCCGCUCGGUUUUUUUUUGUGACAACAAACAGUUGACACUGGAUGCCGGUUCAAACCUGGUACCUCGAGGCCAAACAAACUUUGUGGUACGCGAAAAAUUGAGAAAAUCCACUAGAGUGAAAAGACAGUUCGUUUUGUGAGAUCGCUAACUUAUAGGGACGUUUCUGAUAAGAGGCAUAUGUCAAAAAAACUAUCGGAAGAUCACAUUAUUAUACCCUUUUUUACUCGUAACUCAACGAAUCGAAUUUGUUUUUAGAAAAACUGAUAUCUUAGAAAUAGGUAAACAACUUUUUAUUGACUCCAUUACUGUUACAUUUCUUCUCAAUUUUCAUCUGAUUAUGAUAAUAUCUGUAUUUAUUUCUGUGGAAUCCCAGACAGCUAAUUUGCAUAUUAAUUGGAUUUUUUACCAUUAAUCUUGGGAAUCCCCUUAUUCUUUACAAAAAUUCAAGAAUCAUGGUCGAGUUAAAUGCAAAAAACAUAUUUCUCAACAAUAGUAUGUUUAUCUGUUAAUUUAAAUUAAAUUUUGUGAAGUUGUGUACAUGUUA